rnacentral:rRNA from 1 species
UGAGGAAUAUUGGUCAAUGGACGCAAGUCUGAACCAGCCAUGCCGCGUGAAGGAUGAAGGCCUUCUGGGUUGUAAACUUCUUUUAUGUGGGAAGAAACCUCUGAUUUCUAUUAGAGUUGACGGUACCAUAGGAAUAAGCACCGGCUAACUCCGUGCC